UAGUUGAAUGAUUGCAAAUGCCUUGAGGA
rnacentral:piRNA from 1 species